AGAUACUCGGAUGUGUUGACAUCUCUCCAACAUGGAUUCUGUGGAUAUCGGUUUUGUUUCUGAUUUAUGAAUAUGGAAAGAAGAGGAACCGUUUGUUCAAGGAUACUGGUAUUCCUGGUCCGGAGCCUGUGAUUUAUAUUGGGAACUUCCAUCAAAUGAUUCAGCACGGUCUGGACUUUGACAACAAGCACUUCAAACAGUAUGGUAAAGUAUACGGGUAUGUAGAUCCGUCGGGCUUAUCUCCCCUUUGUUUAUAUCAUACAU